rnacentral:rRNA from 1 species
AUUGAACGCUGGCGGCAUGCCUUACACAUGCAAGUCGAACGGCAGCACGGGUGCUUGCACCUGGUGGCGAGUGGCGAACGGGUGAGUAAUAUAUCGGAACGUACCUUAUUGUGGGGGAUAAGGCAGCGAAAGCUGUGCUAAGACCGCAUAAUCCCUAAGGGGGAAAGCGGGGGACCGUAAGGCCUCGCGCAAUUAGAGCGGCCGAUACCUGAUUAGCUAGUUGGUGAGGUAAAGGCUCACCAAGGCAACGAACAGUAGCUGGUCUGAGAGGACGAUCAGCCACACUGGGACUGAGACACGGCCCAGACUCCUACGGGAGGCAGCAGUGGGGAAUUUUGGACAAUGGGGGCAACCCUGAUCCAGCAAUGCCGCGUGAGUGAAGAAGGCCUUCGGGUUGUAAAGCUCUUUGUCAGGGAAGAAACAGCAGCUCUAACACAGUUUGCGAAUGACGGUACCUGAAGAAUAAGCACCGGCUAACUACGUGCCAGCAGCCGCCGUAA